AAUGAAUUGCCUGAAUAAAGGAUUACUUUGAUAGAGUAAAUCAUAUAAUUUUAAUUAUAUUCAUUA
rnacentral:tRNA from 1 species